GUGGCUAACUCCUUGAGCCCUC
rnacentral:snRNA from 1 species